rnacentral:rRNA from 1 species
UACGGAGGGGACUAGCGUUGUUCGGAAUUACUGGGCGUAAAGCGCACGUAGGCGGAUUUGUAAGUCAGGGGUGAAAUCCCGGGGCUCAACCUCGGAACUGCCUUUGAUACUGCAAAUCUCGAGUCCGGAAGAGGUGAGUGGAGUUCCUAGUGUAGAGGUGAAAUUCGUAGAUAUUAGGAAGAACACCGGUGGCGAAGGCGGCCCACUGGCUCGAUACUGACGCUGAGGUGCGAAAGCGUGGGGAGCGAACAGG